rnacentral:rRNA from 1 species
AGCGAACGCUGGCGGCAUGCCUAACACAUGCAAGUCGCACGGGGGGGCUUCGGCCUCCCAGUGGCGGACGGGUGAGGAACGCGUAGGGACCUGUCGAGGGGUGGGGGAUAACCGCGGGAAACUGCGGCUAAUACCGCAUGACGCCGCGGCGUAACAGCCGGGGCCAAAGGCGAAAGCCGCCCGCCGAGGGGCCUGCGUCCGAUUAGCUGGUUGGCGGGGUAGCGGCCCACCAAGGCGUCGAUCGGUAGCUGGUCUGAGAGGGUGAUCAGCCACACCGGGACUGAGACACGGCCCGGACUCCUACGGGAGGCAGCAGUGGGGAAUAUUGGACAAUGGGCGCAAGCCUGAUCCAGCAAUGCCGCGUGGGUGAAGAAGGUCUUCGGAUUGUAAAGCCCUUUCGGCGGGGACGAUGGUGACGGUACCCGCAGAAGAAGCCCCGGCUAACUUCGUG